rnacentral:rRNA from 1 species
UACGUAGGGUGCAAGCGUUGUCCGGAAUUAUUGGGCGUAAAGGGCUCGUAGGCGGUCCAUCGCGUCGGGAGUGAAAAGCUGGGGCUCAACCCCAGUCCUGCUUCCGAUACGGGUGGACUAGAGGUAUGCAGGGGAGAACGGAGUUCCUGGUGUAGCGGUGAAAUGCGCAGAUAUCAGGAGGAACACCGGUGGCGAAGGCGGGACUCUGGGCCGAUACUGACGCUGAGGCGCGAAAGCGUGGGGAGCAAACAGG